AGAAGGUCAUAAACUCAUCAUGUUCAGUUCUGUAGCAUGGAAAAUGAAGUCAGAAGGAACUGAUCUGCAGUGAGAAGAAGGCAGAUUUAAGAGUCACCAUCUUCUUGAGUUGAAACAGAAACAGAACCAUUAGGAACUGCCUCUAUGAUGCCGACCGAGGAACAUUCAGGUAAUCUGAUGUCUACUGCUGUACAGAUAAGUAUACGGUUGUUUACAGUCAUUGUGUCAUCAAGAUAUUUCUGUUAAUCCAAGAUAACUUUAAAAUAAAAUUAUUUUUGAUUACCUCGUUUUGUAUUAGUUUUCUCCUUCUAUCAGAGAACAUUACUUUGUGUUGGAACAAUUGAAAAUGUGUAAAUUAAUUAAUAAAUCAAUUAUGAAAAUUGUUUUGAGAAAUUUAGUUUUAUACCUACAGCUCUUGUUCCAUCUCUUCUUUGUUAUUUGGUAUUGAUGAACAGGUACGCUCUCGCCUUCAGGCCUCCUUUCUUUUUCUUCCUGUUCCACAUCCUGUGCAUUUUAGAAAGAACAGAACACGGGUUAUAUUUUCUACUCUGAAAAGCUUUAGAAAGAUAAGUCCAAUAAGUUAUUUUUAAAUCUGGGUUAACUUUUAGAAAGUGAAAUAUUCCCCUACUAGUGCAACCUUUUAAGAAUACAAAAAUAAAAGUACUACUGCCGCUGUGGAUUAACUCAGAUAUACUUAUGGAUGUGCAAGGUUCGUUAUAUCAGUGCCAAACAGACGGUGACAUCUAAUAGUUUUGUGUCAGAAUUCCUCAAAUUUUAGUACCAGUUUCAUGUCAUACCAUGCUGACAAGACAAGAGCAUUUCAUUCAUUAAGGGCUCCUAAAUUAAAUAAUACAGUUGACCCCCUUUUAAACACAGCGAUCUGUGGCUGCAUCUUACAUGUUUUCUUCUGCCCACACUUCACAUCUACACAAGAUUUAUAAAAAUUCAGCCUGCUGGUUUUUAGUAUAAUCGAGUAAAAGUCAAAUAGAUCAAUAAACAAUGCUUAAAGCAAAAGGAAAUACAAAUAGAGAGUUUAAACAGAGAAGAAAUUAACUGAACUGUUUCUUGUAUAAAGCACAGAAUCACUGGAGGGCUGACAUGCGUGUUUUAACACUUUCAAACAUAAAUUACAGCUUAUGUAAAAAAAAAACAACAAAAAACAAAAAACAAAAAAAAAAAACAAAAAGGUCAGUAGAUUUGUCAGUAUUUUACCAUAUUUUAGGACCACUAUAGACAGUGUCAGGGAUCUCCUGUUUUUUGAACAAA